GUGUGGAUGGUGGGUCCCUAAGGGUUAGGGGGGCGCUAGAAAUUCUCCAGAGAUGGGCUGCUAGGGACAUGACUACCUUUAUGCUUCACUUUUAGGGUUGAGCAGGUAGGGGAGGCACCCAUGCAGAGACUCAGAAGCCCCGAACAGGUACACUUGGGAGUGUUGUACCUGUUGGUUUGCAAACGGUACUAUCAUUUGCUCAUACACAGUUCUAGCGGGCCAUGGAAAUCUUGUGUCAAAUUCAGCAGAAAUGGCCUCAAAUAUAAUUUGUUCUCCAAAGAACAUGAACCCAGAAGCAUGAGGCAAGACUCAGCUCCCAUUUUGGGUGCUAUGAAUUGAAACAACACUUUCACAUAUGAGUCCACCGUUCUUCUCCACCUUCCUGCUGCCCUUUCUCUUCAGUAUGCCUGGAGCUGUAUGCCCACGUUCAGUGCCAGAUCAAGUAGUGUGGAGAGGCAGUCCCCAGGAUGAUGAGGCCGUGCGUGAGGAGGAAGAGGCCAGCUGCAGCAACAACAGAGCUUGCAGCAUUGGAGGCCAGACUGCUCAGUGCCUGGAAGACAGAGUGUGUAUCGGAGUCUCAUCACAGCUUUGUGCAGGAUGCUCCGUUCUUUGCCUGUUAUACUCAAUGGUGCUUCCCCAGAGUUGUUUCUAAUACAGUCUGUGGCCUCUUAUCAGGCAGACCAUGGAUAGUUUGUCAUUGGAUCGCUCAGCGCUCUGCAGUCCAUUCCAUGAGACAGUUAGAAAACAUGUCUUGAGUGGGAGAAUGUGAGCAGCUCCCCACAGGCUGGCUUCCUGACUCUCUAUGACACUGAGCACUGAGAUGGGGAUCCUCAGUCUGCUGCCACUAUCUUCACUGACUUUCCCAAAGCUCCCAGAACUGUCCUCUGAAGACCUCUUACAAUAUGGCCUUUGACACCCUCUGGAGAACCCAGACUGUAGUUUUACCUCACAUAAAAAGGAGUGUUAGAGAAUAAUGGAAGCAACCUGAAGAGGUUGGAUACCCUAGAGCAGUGGUUCUCCACCUUCCUAAUGCUGUGACCCUUUAACACAGUCCGUACAGGGUGAUCAGGCCAAAGGGAAGAUAAUGUACUUUCAUCUGACAAGCAGUUGACGAAUUUGGACCUUCUUUUACCUUCCAAGAAAGGGAAAGAAGUAUUGGUGUGUGGUCUUAGUUCCUGUGGUUCUGGCUAUGCCCACCCUCAACCAACACAAUGAGCAGACAGUAGCCUUGAAAACACAGUAGGAGGAAGCAGUAACACUGCUGCUCCUGUGGGUAGCAGCCCUUCCUACUUCCUGCCCCAUACCCACCCAGGUGGGAAAGGCACACCCUGACUCCAGAAGCCACAGGGUCUGGCUAGCUAUGGCUGAGAACACAAGGUGGUUUAGGAGCUGGCACAUGUUCCUGAUGACUGAAGCUGCUGUAUAGACCCAGAAGUCCUGGGGUGGUUGAAGAGUUCCCAGCAAUGAAUGGGGGUCAUAGUUCUGGGCUUGGAAUCAAGAAAUGUAGACUCCCAUCUCUGCUGUCGUUAAUCUCUCUGUGUGUGACUGGGCAAGCUCCUUUCUACUCUGUGUUUCAGUUUUUCUCCCAUCACAUGUGGAAAAUGAACACAUUCACCUCAGAAGUGACGUCCCAAGUGUGUCAGUGGGCUAGCGGAAGAAUACAUGCCCUCUAACCUGUUCUGAGCUUUGUUUACCUAAACUGUGCAGUGGAGGCUUGGAACUAGAAAAAUUACCUAUGAGUUUCCAACUAAUACAACCAACUGGAGAUUGAUGGUCUUCAUACUUACAAAGGGUUUGGCUGAGGUUUUCCCAGAGAUAAUUGAGAGAGCUCCAGCAAUGGCAAACUGUUCAGGAGGGAAAGAAAAGAAAGAGAAGAGUUGGCCUAAACUGCUUUCAAACCACUCACAGAAAGCAGUGGGAAACCUCUAGGGAGACAAUCCUGCAGGAAUGACAUGUCCAUAUUGCUAGGGAGGCUUCAUAUCUACUUGGGAUGGUUAUGUAUGCUGACUUUAAAGAACAGGCAUCUGCUCAGGGAGGUUGAGUUUAUGUUAUUGGAAAGCAGCAGUUGCUGCAGGCAAGAUGCAACAGAUGCCUGGCAGAUGCUACUAAUAUUGAAAGAGGAGGUUGGGGGUGAUCAAUGACUUGAGACAAUAUGGAGAUAAGGAAACCAACAGAAGUACCUAUGAAAGAGCCUCUGAUACUGCAAAGGACAGAGAAAUAUGGAAUUGAAGCUAUUGGUGUAUGUGGAAUGAGUAUUAUCCAGAGUUUAGGAAACCAGGAGGACAAGAUCCAACAUAAAACCUUUAUUAUAACUGCCUAGAAGGCGGUUUUUUAUUCCAGUGGUACUAGGAUCCCAGCAAGCAGAGGUAUGGUGGUCUGGGAAGCUGAAACAUUGAUUAUGCCUGUGGCUUGAGUAUUGGGUAUUCACAGAUAAUGAGAGACAAAAAUGAACUAGCAGUAGAUUCACUAAUGAAAUAUGGAGGCUGCCACCACUGGUUAGACAGUGAACUCCAGGACAAAUUGUGCUUUGGGGACAGGAGCAGACUUCCUUGCACACUGUAUAGUUGUGUCCAGGCAGGGACCAUGGUCACUAAAACCCCUUUGUAUAAUUCAUCUUCUUAGAAUGUGCCUCUUUCCCUCGUUUUUACAAGAUUUUCUACGAAGAGAAAUGAUCGUUGGUAGGAGGAACACAUGGUGCCUAGCUACUCUCAAAAUAAACUGCAGUAGGGCCCUUGCCCAUGAGUCAUUAUAUGACAAGAAGCCCCCAAACUCUACAGAUGUUUAGGGUUACCUGGAAGCAGAAGAAUGCCUCUAUUUCCUAUGAAUCUUGUCAUUACUGAGAUAAAUGUCUGCAAACCUGUGACAUCUGAUAGAGGCCCCAGGUUACUGUUUAACCAGUGUUUUUCACUCUCUACCUGAGAAGUGGAUUACCCUUAAAAUGGGUAGAAUCUAAUGGCCUCUUCAAAGCCCCAAAGAGGGCUGUAAUAAUAUCCCUCUUGUCUAACAUGAUGUGGUGUCAGAUAAGAAAUGUGCUGAUAUGCUCAGUGUGUUGUCUUUUCCUCCUGCCUCCUGUCCUAAUCAGAUCCCUCCUGAGGUGCUGAUUUUGAAUAGGCAAGACAGGACAUGAGAUGAUGACAGGAAUGUUGAGCUGGCUUUCUCUUGCAUUCUUUCCUCUUGAAGAGGAAGCUAUUCUAUGACUGAAUGCCUGGUGUAUAUUUAGGAGGCAUAAAUGCUUUUGGAGAUCAAACUUUACUUACAUACAGGGAUCCAACAAAUGGGUACCCGGACAUCAAAGUGGUGGAGGCUGCUGGGUUGAAGUAGGGAGAGUAGGAAACUGACACCAAAAUGCCCCCCAAGCCUGCAAUCGUCAGGGCACAUAGUAUCUGGAUGGUCUGCAACAGACAAGACAUGGACCUCUAGAAUAUGUUUUUAAGUGGAUGCAAAGGAUUAUUUGAAUAUACACUGACUUAUAAGGAGUGUAAAAUAUGUUAUGAUUUCCUGUAUUAAAAAGGGUAAACCCCACAAGUACCAAAUAUGCCUAUUCUAAGAGAAAAAAAAUUCAAAAUUUACCUCUUUUAUUUUGAAAGGCUCAUUAAACUCAGAAAGUGAUCAUUUGAAUGUUGUAAUUAUGAAAAAACUACUUCACAAAGCAUUUCUUUGUGUUGGAAAAGUCAUUGGGAAAAGUUGUUUGGACUAGAGCACAGUUAAGAAAAUAUGGAGAAGGAACUUCCCACAGGAGUGUCAAUGCAGGCCUCAGCUUCAACUGAGAGUUGGUGAGCAUCGUAUUUCUAGUGCUGUCUCCCAUCCAUUUUUAUUUGUGAUUUGAAUUUAAGAAUCGCUCUGAUUGUCGCAGCACCAAGUGUCAGACUAGUUAACAUGUUUCAAGUGUCUGCAUUCUCAGCAGUAUUUGUCACAUCCGUGUUACAGAUGAGGAACACGAGGGAGUUAAGUUGUACAAAACCACACAAAUGUCAAAGACCUGGAAUGUUGUUUGGACUCUGCAAUUUGAAUGGGAAUCCAUAUUUUUAUUCACUGCUGGGUAUAUAUUGUAAUUUACACACAAACAAAGUAAAUCAAAAGUACAAGAUGCUAUCUAUUACCACAAUUCAUCAUUGAAUAUCCACAAUUCAUCAUUGAAUAUCCACAAUUCAUCAUUGAAUACCCAUGUACCAAGAGGCAGGCAUGAAACAAAUGAAAGUCAUUGUGUAGAAUCUUACCUCUUACUUGUACCAUGUAAGGACAGGUUUCAUGGCAACUGAGAUGAAGUAUUACUAGAGCAUGUUAUCAAGGAUGGGGCCAUCAGGGAUAGAGAUUUGUGGCUAAAUAGAUGGGAGACAUUGUAAUACAAUAGAAGAUCCAGAAGAGAACACACACAGAUAUAGCAACCUAAUAUUUAACAAAGGUGUCUUCAACAAAUGGUGUUGGGGAAACUGGAAACCCACGUGUCAAAGAAUGAAGCUAGAGCCCCAUCUCUCACCUGCUCAUAAAUAAUUCAAAAUAGAACAAAUACAUUAAGGUAAGAUCUGAAGCUCAGAAACUGCCAGAGGUAAACAUCAGGAAAACACUUCAAGAUGAAGGGAUUUUAUGAAAAGGAGCCCAAUAAUUCAGAUAACAAUGGGAAAAAUCAACAAGAUUGCAUGGGAUGGAAAAGUUUCUGCCUAGCAUUGGAAACAAAUAGGAGAGUGAAAUUACAGACUAAAACAUGGGAGAAAACCAUUGUUGACUAUAUAUCCUUUGAAUAGCCCCAAAAGUUAAACGCUAAGAAAACCAAAGCAAUCAAUAAAUAGGCUCAUGAGUGGAAUAAACAAUUCUCAAAACAAAUAAGGAUAGACUACAAAUAUUUUAAAUAACAUUCAGCAUCCUAAUGACUAAUUAGAGCAAUGUAAAUAAAAGCUGAUUUCAGAUUUCUUCUCAUCCCAGUCAGACUGGCUAUCAUCCAGAAAACAAAUGACCACACAUCUGAUGAGGAUGUGAGGAAAGAGGAACUGUUAAAUGCUGCUUAUGGGAAUGUAAAUCAGUGUGGCCACUGUGGAAAUCAACAUGGUGGUUCCUGGAACAACUAAAACUAAAUUAGAACCAGCGUAUGAUCUAGAGGAUGACUUCUGGGUAUGUCCCCAAGGGAAUCAAAGUCAGCAUAUCACAGAGAGGCCUGCACAGCCAAGCUCAUUGCUAUACAAUAGCCAAGGCAUGGGGCAAUUUAGAUGUCCAUCAGCAGCUGAAUAGAAAAACAAAAUGUGGUCUUUACCCACAAUGUAAUUUUAUUCAACCAUGAAGAAGAAUAAAAUAAUGUCAUGGUAAUGGGUGGAACAAAGGAUCAUCAUACUAAAUAAAAUAAGACCAACUCAGAAAGACAAAUAAUGUCUUUUCUCUAUCAUGAAAAAUAUACAUUUAAAUAUAUAUGUAUGUGUAUAUCCAUAAACAUGAGACUGGAAGAAACACUGCUAGGGGAGAGGAAGUGGUCCAAGGUGGGAGAUAAGAGAAAACAAUGAGAGGGAAAGACAAGUGCCAUGCUCUCCUUUCAUAUACAGAAUCUGAAGUUGUGCACUGUAGGUACACACACACACACACACACACACACACACACACACACACACACACAUCUUUUCACACAUGCUCAUGGUAAAAAAGCAAAGAGAAAAUAUUUGGGAGAGAAAGAAAACCACCAAGAGGGUGGGAAGCAAUCAGGAAUGUAAUCAGCAGGCAAGUAUAUAUAUCAUCUAUCUACCUGUCUGUCCGUCUAUCUAUCUAUCUAUCAUCUAUCUGUUGAAAGCAGUGGGAGUGAUAUAAGGGCCAAGGUCUUGGUAUGCAGGUAGUGAAAUAAUCACUGAGUAGGAUGACACGAGUUUCUAGAGUGGGAAUUUCCAGGGGUGAGAAGACAGCUAAAAGAUUGAUCUCAGAGUCCUGAAAAGCAAAGACAGUGCUGACUUCCUUUCAAUGACUUGGGGUGAGAAUUGCUGACAGAGUGUCUUCUGGAAGCAAUGUGCUGCUGAGUCAACAAAGAAGAGAGAGAAAAAAAUGGAUAAAGAGUCUAAUGAUUAAGAUUUAAGAUGUGGUAAGGAAUUAUGCUGGUAUAGAUAGCUAAGUGGCUAUAGGAGAUUAUUUUUCUAAGACCCAUAACCUUACUAGUCUCAGGAGGCUGGCUAGGUUUCCCCUCCCAGGCAUGAUUUCCCUCCUGCUGAAUUGGCCUUAAGUCCAUUUAGAUAGCUGUUGGUUGCCACUGACUUGUGGGUGCCACUUACUUCACCUCUAUUCAUAUCUUGUUAUGCUGGUUAGUUGUGGAUCAUAGUAUUGUAGCUGGGUAGGACUGUUUGUUUCCUUUCCUUGGCAUAGUAUUUUCUGGAACCAUGGAAACUAAACCAAAGGAAAGAUGCUUUUAGAACCAGCUUGAAUCACCUGAGUCCUGUCUCCUAAGUCUGCAGUGUCUUCAGCAGUAAGGACCCUCCCCCAAACCCUGAGAAGCAAACAAGGGGCUACAUCAAUUAUCUGUACUGUUUUGGGAGUCACUUAGUCUACCCUGCUCAACCCGAAUCCCAGAAGACACAGUUGGUAAGGUUUCUGAAGAUGGGAAGGAAUAGAGGUUGGGUCUUAAUAGGAAGAAUUUAGAACCCAAUGAUGAAUAGGGUCCAGCUUAUGAGGAAUAAUGAUGUUGAUACUUAGAUGUCUUACAGCAGCUUAUGUGGACACAGAGAAAUGUGUGGAUAAAGGUGAUCUAGAUGGUGUCAUCUGAAAAUGUUUGAAAACCAAACUUCAAGUAGGAAGACCUAAUUUAAUCAGACUAAAUAAAUAAAAUCAUGCAUCUAAGUCAAAAAUCUGCACUAAAGACACAUGAGAAGAAACUAAUUUCUUAAUUAUUCAGUUUUCUGUUGAAAAAAAGCACAAGUGGGUUUAAUUACUUAGUUAUUUAAUUAAAUGAAAGCCCCUAGGAGAGUAUAGUUUCCAGAACAGCUGUAUUUCACAUUCUGGUUAGCUUGUGGAGUCAGCCAGAAACAAGGCAAGGACGCUCCCAGACCCACCAAACCUCUGUAGUCUCUGUAUAUCUCUUCCUUGUUCUCUUUCCACCAAGAUGGACUUACCCCAAGAACUGUGGCUUCCUUCGGCACACCAACCAGCAGCUCAUCUCCUUUUUGGUAUGUGUGUCCAGCUUUCUCUCUUUUGUGAAUAACGAUGUCCAUUGGAAGGCAGGCACCCAAAUCCCAAGCCGUAGAAGUGUGACACUGACGAGGCUAGAAGAGGCACUGAACUCAUUAGUUCCUAGGGCUUGACUGACAGACACUCACAGGCACCAGAGUCUGCAGGGAGUGAAGAAGGAUGACUUUUCUUUAGAUGAGAAUUGGGUACAUGUAGGGUGUGAUGACCAUAGACUGGCUUGUUUUCUACAAAUAGAACUGGAUCUGAGUUUCAGGGAGAGCAUAGGAGAGCUAGUCGGUUUGCUGCACUUCAUUCAUGAUGAAAAAGAAACAUGCUUUUGGGGAAAAUUGCAAACAUUUCAAGGAACCCCACAAUUUGGAUGUUAGUAAUUCAAAUAGAAUUUGCUCUGCAGCCCUGAGUGUAUUCACCUCACUGCCUGCCCUGCAAAGCCUUUAGUUUUAGGUCCCAUUCUCUACCUCUUGUACUCCUGCUUCUUUAUAGUACAAUCCUCUGUCACAUCUCCCAGAACCUUAUACUGAAGCUACAUUUAUGCUGUCUAAUCCUCCACUGUUCAUUUUCUCUCCAUUAAAUGAUUGGAUGAGUGCUUUUCUGUCUAUAAAAAAGAACACAUCUAAUCUAGAAUGUGCAUCACUUCUGUUUUUUAAAACCCACAUUGAAUUCCAGGCACUGGAGCACCAAAGGUCUUACUCCUUCUAAGAGUCUUACAUCCUAGAUGCUAAGUCCAUUUCAUAUAUUAGCAGCUCAGAACUACUAAGUUCAUUUCAUUAACUGAAAGUCACAAAAAGCACUUACCUGCUGCAUCACAUGUGUUUAAUACACUGUAGCAAAUAUAAUUAUCAUUAGUCUGUUGUUUGCCUAACUUGCAUGUACCUGGGCUGUGUCUACUGGGCUCAGGAUCUUAACAAUAUUUUCCUUUAUGUGACAAUAAUUUCCUCUCUGUGACAUUUCACCUUGCCUUUUCUUCCAUCCCAAUAUUGACAGCUCUGCUCCAGGAGAAAACAGUGCUCCACCAGGUUGACAGUACCGAAAUGAACUCCAGACUCUUGUUAUUUGUGGGGGCAGGUGGGGAUGGUACUGCAAUGGAGUUGCAUAUGUCUGCCACCUGACACCAUCACCUCCAAAUCCAACAAUGGAGAGGGGAUGCUUUGCCCUUUGGUGUUCGUUAUAACGAGGUGAAUGGGAGUGGCCCAUAGCUUUUGAAAAAGUUCAAAAAUUCCUACCAUUCAGGCAAACAGCUCUGCACAAUACUUUUCUGUGUUACAAUAUUAGAUUAGAACUAUAGUUUUCAAAUUCAACAUUUGAUCAAAUCCCAGUCUUCCUUGAGAACAUGUUUUUGUAAAACUGAGUGACUACAGUGAGGAAAUGCAGGCAACUUUAGAAGAUCAUCACUUCAAAUCUCAAGUGAAAUCAAAGGGUAGUUUGCCUUUUGGCAGGUAAGUAAGUGAAGGCCCCAAAUGGGCAUCUGACUCACCAGUUCAUACAGAUGGUCAACAGAAAGGUCAGGAUGUGAAUCUAGUUCUUUGGUUGUCUAUCCAGAGCUCAAUCUCCCCCAGGGGUUACAAUCCAAACCAAGGCACCAGGUGGUCAACAGAAAAGACAGGAUGAGAAUCCAGUUUCUGUCUGUCAGAAGCACAAUCUCCCCCAGGGGUUCUAACUCAACCUAGUGUACCUACCUGUCCUCACAGCCCUGUGCUGUGUGCUCCUGUGCCUGCUCACUCAGGUCCGGGGAGUUCUCAGGCACAACCUCCCACCAGCUCUUUCCUCCAGAAGUUUUGAAACUCAGACGGUCUGUAUGCUUUCCCCGGAAGGUAUUCGUGAUUACUCAGGAUGUGAAUUUGUGGUUAUUACAAGCAGUUGGCAAAUGAAAAGCUUCUCUGCUUCCCCUUUCUGAAUUUUGAGGUUUGGGAAAAUAACACAAAAUGAAAGCAUCUCAUGAAACAAAGAGUUCUGUGGGAAAUAAUCCCCUGCGCUUCUAUAUGUAGUGAAGUAAGCACAUUGGUGAUAUUAAGUCUUUCUUCUUAUCUGCUGAAUGAAGGAUGGAUAUUAGUAAUUCUGCCAUCUGGCUGUUGCAGAAGUAACAAGAAAGGAAGAGUUUACAAAAGAGAAUUAUUGCUAAUAACAAUUGUACAUUUGGAUUUGAGAGAAUUUCAAUUUUUUUUUGUGUGUGUAAUCCUUCUAGACAUUGAAGAAAAAAAUUGAAGAAGACACCAGAGGGUGGAAGGAGCUCCCAUGCUUAUGGAUCAUUAAUAUUGUGAAAAUGGCCAUCCAACUAAAGGCAAUCUAUAGAUUGAAUGCAAUCCCCAUCAAAAUUCCAGCACAAUUCUUCAACUUCAUAUAGAAAUAUAAAACAAGUCAGUUUAGCUAAUAUAAUCCCGAAUUUAAAAAAAAAAAAAAA